GUGCUUGCCUAGGGGGCCACAUAUCAUGGUGUUGACGCUGGUUUUUCAGGAUGAAGGCUUAUCCAUUGCACUUCAGAUAUGCUCACUUCUGUGGUUUCCCCGAAGAGAGAAAACUUGACUGCAUAACCUGUGGGAGCAGGUGACUGUGUCCAGCUUUUUCACUUA